rnacentral:rRNA from 1 species
ACACAUGCAGUCGAGCGGUAGAGAGAAGCUUGCUUCUCUUGAGAGCGGCGGACGGGUGAGUAAUGCCUAGGAAUCUGCCUGGUAGUGGGGGAUAACGCUCGGAAACGGACGCUAAUACCGCAUACGUCCUACGGGAGAAAGCAGGGGACCUUCGGGCCUUGCGCUAUCAGAUGAGCCUAGGUCGGAUUAGCUAGUUGGUGAGGUAAUGGCUCACCAAGGCGACGAUCCGUAACUGGUCUGAGAGGAUGAUCAGUCACACUGGAACUGAGACACGGUCCAGACUCCUACGGGAGGCAGCAGUGGGGAAUAUUGGACAAUGGGCGAAAGCCUGAUCCAGCCAUGCCGCGUGUGUGAAGAAGGUCUUCGGAUUGUAAAGCACUUUAAGUUGGGAGGAAGGGCAUUAACCUAAUACGUUAGUGUUUUGACGUUACCGACAGAAUAAGCACCGGCUAACUCUGUGCCAGCAGCCGCGGUAAUACAGAGGGUGCAAGCGUUAAUCGGAAUUACUGGGCGUAAAGCGCGCGUAGGUGGUUUGUUAAGUUGGAUGUGAAAUCCCCGGG